rnacentral:rRNA from 1 species
ACGGGAGGCAGCAGUGGGGAAUAUUGCACAAUGGGGGAAACCCUGAUGCAGCGAUGCCGCGUGGAGGAAGAAGGUUUUCGGAUUGUAAACUCCUGUCUUAAAGGACGAUAAUGACGGUACUUUAGGAGGAAGCUCCGGCUAACUACGUGCCAGCAGCCGCGGUAAUACGGAGGAUCCGAGCGUUAUCCGGAUUUAUUGGGUUUAAAGGGAGCGUAGGCGGAAGGUCAAGUCAGCUGUGAAAUGUAGUCGCUCAACGUCUGCACUGCAGUUGAAACUGGCCUCCUUGAGUGCGUAAGAGGCAGGCGGAAUUCGUCGUGUAGCGGUGAAAUGCUUAGAUAUGACGAAGAACUCCGAUUGCGAAGGCAGCUUGCUGGGCCGCAACUGACGCUGAAGCUCGAAGGUGCGGGUAUCGAACAGGAUUAGAUACCCUGGUA